AGAGUUUGAUCCUGGCUCAGGAUGAACGUUGGCGGCGUGCCUAACACAUGCAAGUCGAACGAGAAAGGGUUCUUCGGAACCCGAGUAGAGUGGCGAACGGGUGAGUAACGCGUAGGAAACUUGCCUUUUAGUGGGGGAUAACUACCGGAAACGGUAGCUAAUACCGCAUGUGAUUCAUUUGACCUUGGUCGAAUGGAUUAAAGGUGGCCUCUUCAUGAAUGCUAUCGCUAAAAGAGAGUCCUGCGUUGUAUCAGAUAGUUGGUGAGGUAACGGCUCACCAAGUCUAAGACGCAUAGCCGGCCUGAGAGGGUGAUCGGCCACACUGGGACUGAGAUACGGCCCAGACUCCUACGGGAGGCAGCAGUGAGGAAUUUUCCGCAAUGGGCGAAAGCCUGACGGAGCGACGCCGCGUGGAGGACGAAGGCUUUCGAGUCGUAAACUUCUUUUAGUAGGAAAGAACCGAUUGGUGGUUAAUACCCGCCAGUCCUGACGGUACCUACAGAAAAAGCACCGGCUAAUUCAGUGCCAGCAGCCGCGGUAAUACUGAAGGUGCUAACGUUAUCCGAAAUCACUGGGCGUAAAGGGCGCGUAGGCGGCAAUGUAAGUCAGCAGUGAAAUGUCACGACUCAAUCGUGAAAGGUCUGUUGAAACUGCAUCGCUAGAGUGCUGAAGAGGUAAGUGGAAUUCCAGGUGUAGCGGUGAAAUGCGUAGAUAUCUGGAAGAACACCAGUGGCGAAGGCGGCUUACUGGUCAGCAACUGACGCUGAGGCGCGAAAGCGUGGGGAGCGAACGGGAUUAGAUACCCCGGUAGUCCACGCCGUAAACGAUGGAUGCUAGGUGUGGGAGGUUUGAGAAUCCUUCUGUGCCGCAGCUAACGCAUUAAGCAUCCCGCCUGGGGAGUACGGUCGCAAGAUUAAAACUCAAAGGAAUUGACGGGGGCCCGCACAAGUGGUGGAGCAUGUGGUUUAAUUCGAUACAACGCGAAAAACCUUACCCAGGCUUGACAUCUCGGGAAGUUUAACGAAAGUUAGAUGUGCCCUUCGGGGAAUCCGAUGACAGGUGCUGCAUGGUUGUCGUCAGCUCGUGCCGUGAGGUGUUGGGUUAAGUCCCGCAACGAGCGCAACCCUUGUCGUAUGUUGCCAGCGAGUAAUGUCGGGGACUCAUGCGAGACUGCCGGUAACAAACCGGAGGAAGGUGGGGAUGACGUCAAAUCAUCAUGGCCUUUAUGUCUGGGGCUACACACGUGCUACAAUGGUCUGUACAAAGGGGGGCUAAGCCGCAAGGUGGUGCAAAUCUCAAAAAGCAGAUCACAGUUCGGAUUGGAGUCUGCAACUCGACUCUAUGAAGCUGGAAUCACUAGUAAUCGCGGAUCAGAAUGCCGCGGUGAAUACGUUCUCGGGCCUUGUACACACCGCCCGUCACACCACGAAAGUUGGUUCUGCCUGAAGUCACUGGGCUAACCCGUAAGGGGAGCAGGUGCCGACGGUGGGGUCGAUGAUUGGGGUGAAGUCGUAACAAGGUA
rnacentral:rRNA from 1 species